UACAGAGGGGGCAAGCGUUGUUCGGAAUUACUAGGCGUAAAGGGCGCGUAGGCGGCCCGCUAAGUCGAACGUGAAAUCCCCGGGCUCAACCCGGGAACUGCGUCCGAUACUGGUGGGCUCGAAUCCGGGAGAGGGAUGCGGAAUUCCAGGUGUAGCGGUGAAAUGCGUAGAUAUCGGGAGGAACACCUAUGGCGAAGGCAGCUCGCUGGGACGUUACUGACACUGAGACGCGAAAGCGUGGGGAGCAAACAGG
rnacentral:rRNA from 1 species